ensembl:snRNA U12 U12 minor spliceosomal RNA
AUGCCUUAAAUUUAUGAGUAAGGAAAAUUAUGAUUCUAGGUGAUAUCCAAAUUCUCAUUGCUAAUAUGAGACAAAUUUUUGAGUGGGUCAACUUAUUCCCUAAGGCAACUUGCAUACUUUGUGAGAUGCCUGGGAGCGGCCAUCUGCCUG